AGUCCUGAUACUGGAAAGACCCUCUCUUUCGGUCGGGAGGAGCCAAGAUGGCCGAAUAGGAACAGCUCCGGUCUACAGCUCCCAGCGUGAGCGACGCAGAAGACGGGUGAUUUCUGCAUUUCCAUCUGAGAUGGAGGUGUUCUGUAGCAGCCCAGGGGCAGAGAGCUGACUCACCAGACAACAGACACAGUAGCAGUGACCAGCAUAUGACUGCUCUCAGAGAGGAGACGGUAUUGGACUAUGCUUCUAAAUUAUGUACCAUACUGCUGCAUUGAUUCAGGCCUUUGUUUGAAGAAUGUAUUGAGAUAUUGAGGGAAGCUGGCAUAUGAAGUGGAGAAGGAGGCAGAACUGGCCCUACAUGUGCACACACGAACCCUGCCUUCUACUGAGAUUGCAAGGUGCCAUGGAAGUAUCCUGGGUCUUUGUAUGCAGCCUAGAAAGGAGGCUUCUUCAUCUUCUGCCUAAAACCCUGCAGCAGCGACUUGAUUAUUCUCCUGUUGCCAUCCUUGCUUCCCUUAAAUCUACUUGCCGCCAUCAUCUUCCCAAAAUACAG